rnacentral:misc_RNA from 1 species
GCUUUAAAAAAAUUAAAAUUUGUCCCCUUCAUUAAGUAAGUGCGAUCAAAGAAUCAUUUGGACAUGUCUACUAUGAUCUUGAACGGGCAAAUGAAGAGGGCAAAACAUUCUUGAAUAUUUCUUGUCUGAUGAAUGCAGCUUAUACCUUAAGUACCAAUCAACAUUGGUGGAAAGAGAUGUUCAAUGAAAGAUUUGGCAUAUGUGGCACGCCUGCUACAGAGUAAUUUGAAUUCCCUUGUUCAUGCUCUUGGUAUUAAUCAGUUUUAUAAGUGAUGUGCAGCACCACCUUCCCCGAGUGAUCCUACAGUGAAGAAAGUUGCAGACAAACUAGCAAGUUUUGUUGCAAAAAAUGGAAGGCAAUUUGAGCAUAUCACACGCCAGAAGAACCCUGGAGACACACCAUUUAAAUUUCUAUUUGACAAGACUUGCUCAGACUACAAGUACUAUGAGUUUCGGCUUGCUGAAGAGGAGAGGGCUCUUUCACAGGCUAGGGAUUCUGAAAUCCCUCCUAGUGGUGCUACAAGUUCUUCAGCUUCUAAACUGCCUCAGCAGCAACCAAAUUACCAAAUCCCUGCCUCAGCUCUAUAUGAAGCCACUGAUGAGCCUGGGGGUCCAAUGACUGCAGCACAAACAGCUUCAGCUGGAAGAACUGCUGCAGGUGAAUCUAGUGCUCCAGGCUCA